rnacentral:rRNA from 1 species
GACAGAGGUCUCAAGCGUUGUUCGGAUUUAUUGGGCGUAAAGGGCGUGUAGGCGGCGGGGCAAGUCGGGUGUGAAAUCUCAGAGCUCAACUCUGAAACUGCACUCGAUACUGCUCUGCUUGAGGACUGGAGAGGAGACUGGAAUUCACGGUGUAGCAGUGAAAUGCGUAGAUAUCGUGAGGAAGACCAGUGGCGAAGGCGGGUCUCUGGACAGUUCCUGACGCUGAGGCGCGAAGGCCAGGGGAGCAAACGGG